GUCAUGUGACCUCCUCAAAUCAGCUGUAAGAAGUUGCAUAUACGGGUCCUCAUAGUGGAGUAGAUUUAGUUGGUUAAAGGAAACGCUGUAUCCACCAGGCACCACGAACUGCACAGAUGAGGUAGCUAUUGUAUUGGUUGUUGUAAGUAACUUACUACUAACCUCUCGCUCGAGGUCAAAUCACCCGGAGACUGAGUAUCAAUGUAGAAGGCACCACCGUUCACACUGAUCAUGGCAACGAGACCACCCCUCUCCUGGGAAAUAGGAGGCAAGGGACAAAGGGGCCUCCUUCAUCUGUCUUCAAUCUGAUGAAGGUCAUCAGGGGCAGUGCCAUCCUGGACCUGGCCUACGCAAUGGCCAACACCGGUAUAGUGGGCUUUGGUUGCUGCUAGUGUCCAGUCUGGCAGCUUACUCUAUACACCUCCUACUGAUGCUGUGGGAUCUAACAGCCAUGUCGUCAUACAUGUUCAUCUUGAAAACCGAGCUUCCUGCAGCCAUCGCCAGCUUCCUAAGCCGAGCUUGAGAGGAUCUGCAGAGAAGAAUGGGAGAAACUCUCCAAAUACAGGGUGGCCUGGUAUGAAGAUGGCAGGAUGUUACUGAUUCUGAUGACUUGUGAGGUUCCUCUGGCUCUACUGACCCAAGAUUGGAGAGUGGCACAGUUUGGUCUCAUCUGGCACACUUGUCCUUAAAUCUAUAUGAUAGACAUGUGUAUCACCAUCUUUGUCCUUCCACCCUCCAGGAUUCCAGGCUACACCAGCAGCCUCCUCUUCAUGCUCAUCUUCUUAGUUGUGGUUGUGGUCAAGAAAUGGGUACAUCCCCUGCCCCGUACCAAGCAAUGUGACCAGGUAACAACCACAUUACAAACGGCCCUAAUCACACACACCAAAUACUGAAAGUGACCUGUAGGCUGUGAGCUUCACUUCAUGUGGCAGGUAGCCUAGCGGUUAACAGCGUUGGGCCUGUAACCGAAAGGUCGAUGGUUUGAAUACCCGAGCCGGCAAAAUAUGGAAAAAUCUGCUUCUGAGCAAGGCAGUUAACCCCCAACAAAAACUGUUCCCAGGGCACCGGUGACGUGGACGUCGAUUUAAGGAAGCCCCCUGCACCUCUCUGAUUCAGAGGGAUUGGGUUAAAUGGGGAAGACACAUUUCAGUUCAAUGCAUUCAGUUCUGCAACUGACUAGGUUUUCCCUUUCAUAGAUUUUUUGUAUCUAACUGCCACAGUGACUGGUGGACCAAAAUGUUAAUUUCCCACCCUGGUAACACCUACCCUCAAGUCCUGGUUGUAGGAUUAGGCAGGAAUCCUGGAGAUUGUUUUUCUGAAUGGGAGGCUUUGGUGGCUGACUAAGCCAGUUAUGUAUUGACGAAUACCAGAGAAUGCUGCACUGUGACUGGUGCCAGUCCUGAAGGGGAGGAAGUACUUACGACCCUGCCAGUGCCAGGAAGUGAACUUUGACCUUGUUGGAUAUAACAGCAGCACUAUUGCUUCCUUGUAUACAGUCAUGGCUGUGGGUCCGUUUAAAUGGCUGUUGUUUAGUUUCCUCCGUGGUCAAGACUAUGGAAUUCAAUCUACCCCAAAGACACUCGUAUUUCCAACCACCCUUUUUUAACUCCUCUCAUUUUGGAAACAUUAGAAAUGAACAAGAGUGAAAUUAACAUUGCUGCAUUUAUUCAUUUAAAAAAAAAAUCCAGAUAUCGAAUUCCUUCGGAAUUGGAAUGUACGCCCAAACUCUCACCCAGUAAGGUAUGUAUGCAUCGGUGCCAUUUUAUGAUGAGUGAGGACGAUAGAAGAAAACAAACAUUAUGCCCAUGGCCUUAUUUCUAUUACAGCACAUUGGAUGACUGUCAUUCAUAUUCCAUUCACUCCGCUGAAUGUAACAUCAAUAUGUUUCGGCUACUACAUGCUACUCAAAUGUUCCCUAUACCCAUCAUGAGGUUGCUACAACCUAGCUUAUGAAUGAAACUUUACAACAUAAGUGCACAGGUCGAGAGAAAUUUGAGUAAUCAAGGUGACAGACAUUGACGCAUUCAAUACCGCCUUGCACACUCGUCUGCAUCUAGCUGAUCUAAGGUGUAAUCAUUAGUCCUGCAGUUGCAAACAAAUUUCUAUUGGACAAAUUCAAGUAUGUUUAUCCCUGUUUUGUUCUGUUUGCUUCCGUUUAAGAAACAUAAGCCCUUGAUCACAUGCAAACACAGUUCACUUUCAUGGCAGCCACAUACAAACAGCAAUGAUCCCUUUGAUUGUUGUAUAAUUCCUUAUUGGAUCUAUGCAGUCUCCUCUCACCUUUUCCCUUCGCUUGUGAACUUCAGUGCACAACACAUCAGCUGUCUGUUAACAGGUGAAAAAAAUCUUCCAAGCCAAACCUUAAUAUCAUAACCGCUAACAGCUACACACAGCCUACAUCGUUGUCACCAUAUUAGCUAACAUCAUAAUUAACAUAGCUACUAGAACUAAUGUGUUACUAAACUGCUACAAUAACACAGGACCGCGUACAGCAAGCAGUUUAGCAGUUACACCGGCGGGCGCUGGUGGUUAUAAAACCAAAAGCUUACCUUGACUUGGAAGAGUUCCAGUGUUGGAUAGCCAUAGCCAGCUAGCUAACAUAGCAUCCCUCUUGAGCCAGGUAUUAGAGUAGGCUAAACUAGCUAGCUGCAUCUAUGUCUCUUGCUUCUCCAUUUUUUAAGAAAUGAAUUUGUUCAAAACUGUUAAACUAUUGUAUUUCUCUGAGUCAACUACACAUUUUAUGCACUGCAGUGCUAGCUAGCUGUAGCAUAUGCUUUCAGUACUUGAAUUAUUCUCUGAUCCUUUGAUUGGAUGGACAACAUGUCAAUUCAUGCUGCAAGAGCUCUGAUGGGUUGGAGGACGUCCUCUGGAAGUUGUCAUAAUUACUGUGUAACUCUAUGGAAGGGGGUGAGAACCACGAGCCUCCUAGGUUUUAUGUUGAAGUCAGUGUACCCAGAGGAUUGCGGAAGUUAGCUGUACCUCGGCUACAUGAUGGUGCUACCCUACAGAGUGCUGUUGAGGCUACUGUAGACCUUCAUUGCAAAACAGUGUUUUAAUAAAUUAUUUGGUGACGUGAAUAAAUGUGGUAUAGUUAUCAAAAAAGGAUGACUUCAAUGUUUCACUAUUUAACAUUUUCUGAAAUUGACUGAUGAGGAUGGUCCUCUCCCUCUUCCGAGGAGCCUCCACUGAUGCAUUGACUCAACUUGUCUCCAUCAACCCUGGAUAUGUAGUCAGUAAAACAGACUGCAUAAUAUUUGUAAGCUGUAAUAUGCUUUAUUGCAUUUAAUAGUGCACUACAAUUAUUACUGUGGCAGAAGCAGUUUUCUGGAUCUUCUGGAGCUUUAGUAAAAGGCACCGUCUGUCUGUAGUUCUUAGUCACUGUCAGUGGUGACAUUUCCCAAUCAUUAAGAGUGCAGGAUUGUGUAGUGUAUGGAAUAGCAUAUGCUCCAGAGCUGAGUGCAACCAGCAGCUGCCACUCACAUGUGAAUGUGCCUGUACUAUUAAUCUGUGUGUGUCUUGGGGGGGCGUGCAGAAUUACAUGGCACACAUGGUUAUACGAUUCAGAUACCAUUAUAUAUUGCUGCCAGAGGAGGCAGUGCAAAAGUGUGUUUAUUUGUGUGCAGUGUGCAUGUAUUUAUAGAUAUGUCUCAAAUACUAAAUCAGAGAACUUCUCACCUCAACUUUACAUUAUCACACACUGCAGUUUUGCUGGUAAUGACUACUACUAUUAUUAUUACUCCUACAACUAUUACUACUAGACACACACACACACUGCCCCCCUCUCCCCUACUUUCCCUGGGUAACCGUAUACGUUUCUACGGUGUUAAUGAUGGCAGUGUAGUGAAUGAUGGAUGUGUGUUUUGAGUGCUUACAUCAUCCCCACCAUGGCCUUCUCCUUCCUCUGCCACACUACUGUGGUGCCCAUCUACUGUGAGCUGGACCAGUCAGUACCCUGCCUGCCUGCCUGACUGACGCAGCCCUUACACAUCCUUCUAAACAGUGAUUUUUCUGCCAUUGUAAUCCUUGGGCUGGCCGUGUGUGUAAAAAAAAUGAAAUAAAAAAUAAAGAUACAAAAAAACCUAAUAUUUAUUAUUCAUUUUCUUGAAUGGAAAAACACUUUCAGUGUAAAACUUCAAUGACUAAAACCAGAUAUAAAGUAUGUUGAAAUUAUGAUGGUACUAUUAUUUUUAAAUGUUAUUUUUGAGAACUAGCAAUCACCAAAAUAAAAGCUAGACAGUCAGACAGAGACUGAGCUAGACAGAGAAUUGAAAAUUCCCAAAACAAUGAUUUAAGCAGUAUUGGUUUUGUUGUGUUUGAGCAAAAGAACACAGUAUAUGCCAUGGAAAAAUCAAUUUAAUUGCAGGAAAUUGGUUUUAAAACUGCAAAAAUGUAUCUUGGCUCCAUGGACAAAUGUGUAUAAUUGGCUUAAAAAUGCAAAAUGAAAUGGGCAGUGACACACCUCACAGAGAGAGAGAUAGCUGGUUGACACUACAAGCUCUAUUAAAUCCAUGGUGUCUCUACCUCCUCCUAAAAUGUUAUAUUGGACCAGUCCUUCACUUUGCUUUAUCUCUCUGACAGGCCACAUGGACACAGAGCUGUUGCUAGGCUACGAAGUGAACCUUCCGAGUGAUGUGUUGGUGAUGGAAAAGAGACCAUGGUCUCAGCAUUGACUCCAUGUCAAAUUAAAUGUUCAAUUAAAAACUAAAAUGCCUGAGCGUCUGACAAUCCUGCUGGCUGUGCUGCUGACUGUGUUUGGGGUUGUGGGUAGGUGUUAAGUCGUUUAACUGAUGGGGUUUCCUUUUGGGGGGUAUUCAUUGUCCCAUUAGCAUCUACUGGUAAUGUUAGGACCUUAUUAGCUAAAUGGGUUUUGAAUGGUUGGUUAAUGUUCUCAUGUUUAGGUUAUUUAAUCUGUAGUUUGCUUUGGGUGUUAAGUAUAGCAUGGUGUACCGUGUGUACAAAGUCUCUGGAGUCUGUCGUGGUAAAUGCACACUUCCCAAAUUCAUCCUCAUACUGAAGUUGUUUAGCCUCAUAAAUCAUGGAAAAGACAAGAUUGCAAGGACCCCAAAAAAAUGAAAGAAAAUGUUACAUUUUUAAUGGCAAUGUUUUCAUAUUGGCUGGCGAUGUCAUGCAAUGUAAUGAUCAUGACUAACCUGUGACUGCACUGUAUCACUACGAUGAUGUAAUUUCCUUGUGCCCCCAGGCUCUGUUUCUGCUGAUCUUCAGCCUGUUUGUGGGACUGCUCAGUCUGUGUCAUCGUGGUCACCUGGGCAGAGAACCCCUGAACAGGACCACAUGACCAGACAAGCCAUGUACCUGCUCCAUGGAGCCUAAAGGGAAAAUGCUGCCAGAUAAAUCAUAUUUGGCAGCAAACCAGGACGCUAUGACCACCAAACAGGCCAGUGGUAGGACCACAAGAUCACUGCAUCCAGACUCUGAAAGCAGAAGACUGCCCAGUUACUGAAUGUUGCUCUGAUGUAUUGAGUGAAUAUACUAUACCUUCCUCUAUACCGCACCAUAGAAGAAGUCAUAAAAAUGCUUAUCAACUAUUUCAUUAUAUGAUCAAUUUAUUGUACUGUAAAAUGUUAAAUAAAAGGGAAACAUUGUGAUUUGUAUAAUUGA